rnacentral:rRNA from 1 species
GAUGAACGCUGGCGGCGUGCCUAAUACAUGCAAGUUGAGCGCUGAAGGUUGGUACUUGUACCUACUGGAUGAGCAGCGAACGGGUGAGUAACGCGUGGGGAAUCUGCCUUUGAGCGGGGGACAACAUUUGGAAACGAAUGCUAAUACCGCAUAAAAACUUUAAACACAAGUUUUAAGAUUGAAAGAUGCAAUUGCAUCACCCAAAGAAGAUCCCGCGUUGUAUUAGCUAGUUGGUGAGGUAAAGGCUCACCAAGGCGAUGAUACAUAGCCGACCUGAGAGGGUGAUCGGCCCCAUUGGGACUGGGACACGGCCCAAACUCCUACGGGAGGCAGCAGUAGGGAAUCUUCGGCAAUGGACGAAAGUCUGACCGAGCAACGCCGCGUGAGUGAAGAAGGUUUUCGGAUCGUAAAACUCUGUUGGUAGAGAAGAACGUUGGUGAGAGUGGAAAGCUCAUCAAGUGACGGUAACUACCCAGAAAGGGACGGCUAACUACGUG